rnacentral:rRNA from 1 species
AACGAACGCUGGCGGCAGGCCUAACACAUGCAAGUCGAACGCUGUAGCAAUACAGAGUGGCAGACGGGUGAGUAACGCGUGGGAACCUUCCCAGUGGUGCGGAAUAGCUCAGGGAAACUUGAGGUAAUACCGCAUAAGCCCCUAGGGGGAAAGAUUUAUAGCCCUUGGAUGGGCCCGCGUCGGAUUAGCUAGUUGGUGAGGUAAUGGCUCACCAAGGCAACGAUCCGUAGCUGGUUUGAGAGAAUGACCAGCCACACUGGGACUGAGACACGGCCCAGACUCCUACGGGAGGCAGCAGUGGGGAAUCUUGGACAAUGGGCGCAAGCCUGAUCCAGCCAUGCCGCGUGAGUGACGAAGGCCUUAGGGUUGUAAAGCUCUUUUGCCGGGGACGAUAAUGACGGUACCCGGAGAAUAAGUCCCGGCUAACUUCGUGCCAGCCGCCGCAGUAAUAC